rnacentral:rRNA from 1 species
UACGUAGGGUGCAAGCGUUAAUCGGAAUUACUGGGCGUAAAGCGUGCGCAGGCGGUUUGAUAAGUCAGAUGUGAAAUCCCCGGGCUCAACCUGGGAACUGCGUUUGAAACUAUCAAGCUAGAGUAUGGGAGAGGGAGGUAGAAUUCCACGUGUAGCAGUGAAAUGCGUAGAGAUGUGGAGGAAUACCAAUGGCGAAGGCAGCCUCCUGGCCUAAUACUGACGCUCAUGCACGAAAGCGUGGGGAGCAAACAGG